AUUGAACGCUGGCGGCAGGCUUAACACAUGCAAGUCGAACGAUGACUCUCUAGCUUGCUAGAGAAGAUUAGUGGCGGACGGGUGAGUAACAUUUAGGAAUCUGCCUAGUAGUGGGGGAUAGCUCGGGGAAACUCGAAUUAAUACCGCAUACGACCUACGGGUGAAAGGGGGCGCAAGCUCUUGCUAUUAGAUGAGCCUAAAUCAGAUUAGCUAGUUGGUGGGGUAAAGGCCCACCAAGGCGACGAUCUGUAACUGGUCUGAGAGGAUGAUCAGUCACACCGGAACUGAGACACGGUCCGGACUCCUACGGGAGGCAGCAGUGGGGAAUAUUGGACAAUGGGGGCAACCCUGAUCCAGCCAUGCCGCGUGUGUGAAGAAGGCCUUCGGGUUGUAAAGCACUUUUAGUUGGGAAGAAAAGUUCAUGGCUAAUAACUAUGAGUGAUGACGUUACCAACAGAAAAAGCACUGGCUAACUCUGUGCCAGCCGCCGCGGUAA
rnacentral:rRNA from 1 species